GACGAACGCUGGCGGCGUGGAUAAGACAUGCAAGUCGAACGGGAGUUUAUUUAUAGCAAUAUGAGUGAACUCUAGUGGCGAAAGGGUGCGUAACACGUAGCUACCUACCUCGAAGUUGGGGAUAGCUCGGCGAAAGCCGGAUUAAUACCGAAUGUGAUCGUGAGAUCAAAGCUGGGGAUCGUAAGACCUGGCGCUUUGAGAUGGGGCUGCGGCCUAUCAGGUAGUUGGCGGGGUAAUGGCCCACCAAGCCUAAGACGGGUAGCUGGUCUGAGAGGACGACCAGCCACACUGGAACUGAGACACGGUCCAGACACCUACGGGUGGCAGCAGUCGAGGAUUUUUCUCAAUAGGGGAAACCCUGAAGGAGCGACGCCGCGUGAGGGAUGAAGGUCUUCGGAUUGUAAACCU
rnacentral:rRNA from 1 species